GUCUCUGUAGCCGAGUUAGUAGAAUGCACAGAUUGCCACAGCUGUAGUCGAGGGUUCGAUUCCCACCAGAGGCC
rnacentral:tRNA from 1 species